CGCUUGUAAAAGAGCAGCUUGGUUUGGUGACCUCAGGAGCUUAAACUCUAGCAAGGAUCCAUGCUUGAUACGCUUUGUCGUACCGUCUAUCUCCUCUUGUUCGAAUGGUGGAAAUAUGAAUACAAAUUUGUUUAUAAAUCCAUUUUGUGAUAAGAGCCCCCGGAUGUGGUUCCUUUUUGUGCCUUCUUCCAUUCCUCUCCUUUCAAAUUGUAUAGACAGUGGUUUGUAGAGCAUAGCGAGACAGAUAGCUCUCCGCUCUACUUUGCUUUGGUUCGAUACAUAAUCCAAGACUUGAGCCCAGUCGGUUCUGUACUGAUUUUGAAGAUGCCCUUUGUUAUUGCCUCCCAUAUCGUCUCCCAUAUAAUGAUCACAUCACUCAUCUACAAAUUUGUAUUUAUUCAAAUGAUCAAAUCCUUACCGGUUUU
rnacentral:sRNA from 1 species